UCUUCUGCUGCUCCUGCUCCACAGCACGCUUCCGUCUUUCAACCAGAAAUCAUCUGCAGGGCAAGCCAGGAGUCCCAGGAGUAGGUAAAUGGCCUCCAGCAGCGGUGCAGCGCCUGGAGCAGGCUCUCCCAGGGCAGGGAGUCCAUGGGCACUGGGUGAGAGCUCCACAGGGAUGGCUGCUCGGUCAGCCCCAGUGGAGAGCAGCUGUGAGCCCGAGGCUGAGCUAUUCCUGAGCCUCCCUCAAGGCAGAACUUGCUCAUGCAGAAGGGUGUGUGCCUGUAGCCCACCCUUCUCCCUGGACCACGUAGCCUUGCCGAUGGAAAUUUUGGAUUGAGGGGAGACACAAGCGGGGUGCAAAUUUGUGGAGCCUCUCUUCAGCAUCGCUCAGAGCUUCGCAUCAACUCCAGUGCUCACACACACCCCAGCAGGGAUUUGCUGUCAUCCAAGGGGAUCUGCUUUCAUUACUUCACUCUAAGGUGAAUACCUUGUGAAAUGGUUACAGCCAAGGGUAUCAAACAGCUGCUCGAGCCCUUCAGAAGGUGUGCUACCGUGCUGAAAGUGAAAACUGCUCCCCUUCAGCAGCAAAUGGCAAGUAUAUCAAACAAGAAAAUCUAUGAAAUGUAUCAAAUGCUGAUGUCAUGAGGGGUAUAUAAUUUGUCCUCAAAAUUAAGGUCAUGGGGUUCUCUUGCUAGGCACCAUCCCAGUGGAAUGAUAAACGUUAUGGGUUUGCAUGUGGCAGAGGAGUCAGUUGCCAUUGAAAGAGUGGAAACUCAUUUUUAAUUGCCUUAAUCCCAUGUCAGAAAUCUCCCCUUCCCUGAAUAUAUGUGAGAGCUGUAUCAGGCAGAGCAGAGUUGGGUCAUGUGGUCAGAGCCCCUCUCUGAGCUGGGGCACAGUGUUAGCAUUCUCCUAGGCAGAGUAGUGCAGUGUCUCCGCGCCAGCUUAACUUCUUAGCACACCCAAAUCAAGAAGGCCAUUAGGAAGGCUCUUGGAACUGAGUAAAACAUGACAAGACUCCCCUUUUGGACCCACUGGGCUUCCCUGAGGGAGAAAGGGCGGGGAAUGGGAUGUUCAGAUUGCCCCAGCCACUUCUGGGGCAAACAUUUACUUUAGAUUAAGUGGCAUGUAAAGGAAAGAGGAGCCCUCUCUGGGCUGGCUGCUAGAGUUGAUAGUUAAAUAUUUAUAAUGUCCAAAUUAGCAUAGUGAAAGCUCAAUUCAUCAAUUUGUUCUGGUCUGUUUGUAAGAAGGGGAGGGGGUAUGAGGCACCCUGCAGGAGAUGCAGCUGUGGGUGGGCAGGGCAAGCGUGUUGCCUCCCUCAGGGAUCCACAGCAGCUCUCUGCUGGCACUGAAAGUUUUUGCCCUGGCUUUCUGCUUUGGCAUGGCUAGGGAAGAGACCAGCUUCCAGGCAAGGCUGUGGGGAUCCCUCCUCUCCCCCAAAACCACCUGCCCCGUGGGCAGCCUGAGGUCACUGGGGAAGCUGCAGAGAGCAGCCUGGCCAGGCAGGGCCAGCCUGGGGCUGCCUGUACAGGGGCUGGGGAGGGUGUGGGCUGCCCUGGAAGGGUUAAGGCUUUUCAGGCUGAAAUCCCCCAACAGAAGGCAGGGUCAGCCUCGGAGCUGAAAUCUAAGUGCUAAUGGCUGAUGCCCUUCACCCCUCCGCUGCCUCCAAAGGCGAGUGGCCUGGAUGAGCUGAGGCCGGAGAGCAUUUAACAUUUGAACUUCUUCUUGUCUGCAAGGCAGCAGGCCGUUGUGCGCGGGGUCGCUGACCCCCAGCCCCGCUCCCCCCAGCCCCUCAGCUGCCUCCCAGCCCUAAUUGAAUGACAGAUGGUCAGCGGCAAGGAGAGGGCAGGAGCAGGGCCCCACACCCCCAGCACUCCUGCCCACGCACCCCCCACGCUGGCUGCCCCCACGGCUGCCUGGCACCUCAGCCCCAUAUCUACGCGCCUGGGGGAGAUGGGGCAGUGGGCAGGGAUGGGCAUGGGGUGCUGCACUGGGGGCACCUGUGGCCAGGGACAGCCCUUGCCAGCCCGACCCCCACACCUCAGAAGUGCUUCCCAUCCCUCUACCUUUCAACAAAGCAUCACUACAUUCACAGAGACCUGACUGGCACAGACCAGCUGAGGCCGCCCGCAGUCCUGGUGGUGGAGAGCUGGGGAAGGCAAGGAGCUGUGCCGAGCUGCCAGGCCUUGGCGGGGACGUGGGCAGCUGCAGAGAGCCUGGGCAGGGGAGGCAGCAUUGUGGCCAGACAAUUCCCCUGCCUGCCUGUGUCCCUAGGGGCUGUGCUCACCCCACCACCAUGCCUCGAGCCAGCAUGCUGCACAUGCCCUGCCUGGGUGGAGGAUGCCACAGGUGACAGGAGGUGCCUUUCUGCAUCCAAAAAGGGGUCUGUAGAAAUAGCUCUUGGGGGGGCCAGAACCUGCUGGUGCCCGCAGCCCUGCCAGCUUCCUUCCAGACAAAGCUAGGCAGGCCAGGAUGGGCCCUGGAGGGCAGGGGCAGUGCCGGCCUGCCGCCGAGCUCAGCCCCCUCUGCAGCCCACUGUCCCUUUAACAGAGAGCCGUGAUUCCCACAAUUACUAGGAUUACAAGGAAAGGGUUAUCGAUUUGCAGCCUGCACUGUGUGAUCAGCGCCCAGGCGGCCCCCCCCGGCCCACCUCUCCUACAGUAAGCACGAAACCAUUUAUAAAUGUUUUAUUUCACUGAUCGCGUCACCCUUGCUGCAUAAUAACAACCCCAGCAGCACGGCGAUAUAUUCUCUCCGCUCCCCCUCUCCCCGCGCCCACAGCCUGCAAAAGGCACCAACGUGAUAUCCAGUAGCCCCUGAUUUGUGUGUAUGUUUUAAUUACUGCCAGAGAAACCUGUACACAAGCAUAAAAAAGGGCGAGGGGAAGGGAGAGCAGGCCCAGACGGCGGAGGCAAUGGCAGCCUAAUGCACCGCGGGCUGACAGCGACUUCCGCUCAGGCACCUUCUCCAGAUCGAACCCUUCGAUUGUAACUGAAACAAUUUGCAUACUGAUUCCUCUCAUAGCCUCCCGAUCCAUAACCAGCCAGGCAGCUAUUCAAAUGCAAGUAGCAUCCCUAAAUGCAAGGCUAGACUGACCAAAAUGCGCUGUCCAACAAGCAGAAGGAGAAGAAAAAAACCCUUGAUUAUUAUUUCUAUUUUUGUUCCUUUUAACCUUUAAAAGAUUUAGCUGGAAGCUGUUUGUUUAUGACUGGGGAUGUAAGGCAGAGAAUUGAUCCUGGACUGGACUUAAAGAUGGAGCAAAAUGGGGCGCUGGAGAGAUUUUUUUUGGUUGUGGUUUUGUUUUUUUUUUCUUUUUCCUAUUUUUGUUUUUAACUAAGCCACAAACUGAGGCUCACUGGGGGGGAAAGAGGGUCUGUCCUCUCUCCCAUCCCCUUCCUCCACCAAAACCAUCUCAGCUCCUGCAGACCCAGGGAAUACACAAAUUUGCUGCCUGAGCCUCUGCCUCUGGUGCAUGUUGGGCUGAUGAAGAACGUGUAAUUCUGGCUGUAAAUUCUUGCGUUUAAGUUGGUCCAAUAAAAGAUCUCUCCUACA